GAUCCUGGCUCAGGACGAACGCUGGCGGCGUGCCUAAUACAUGCAAGUCGAGCGAAGUGGAGAGAGCUUGCCCUCAAAGCUUAGCGGCGAACGGGUGAGUAACACGUGGGCAACCUGCCUGACAGACCGGGAUAACUUGGGGAAACUCAAGCUAAUACCGGAUAGGAUCACAAUCUGCAUGGAUUGUGAUGGAAAGUCUGAACGACACUGUCAGAUGGGCCCGCGGCGCAUUAGCUAGUUGGUGGGGUAAUGGCCUACCAAGGCGACGAUGCGUAGCCGACCUGAGAGGGUGACCGGCCACACUGGGACUGAGACACGGCCCAGACUCCUACGGGAGGCAGCAGUAGGGAAUCUUCCACAAUGGGCGAAAGCCUGAUGGAGCAACGCCGCGUGAGUGAUGAAGGUUUUCGGAUCGUAAAACUCCGUUGUUAGGGAAGAACACCCGGGAGAGGAUCCCGGUUUGACGGUACCUAACGAGGAAGCCCCGGCUAACUACGUGCCAGCAGCCGCGGUAAUACGUAGGGGGCAAGCGUUGUCCGGAUUUAUUGGGCGUAAAGCGCGCGCAGGCGGCUUACUAAGUCUGGUGUGAAAGCCCACGGCUCAACCGUGGAGGGCCAUUGGAAACUGGUAGGCUUGAGUGCAGGAGAGGAGAGCGGAAUUCCCGGUGUAG
rnacentral:rRNA from 1 species